GAUUAAGUUAUUAAGGGCGCACGGUGGAUGCCUUGGCACUAGAAGCCGAUGAAGGACGUUACUAACGACGAUAUGCUUUGGGGAGCUGUAAGUAAGCUUUGAUCCAGAGAUUUCCGAAUGGGGAAACCCAGCAUGAGUUAUGUCAUGUUAUCGAUAUGUGAAUACAUAGCAUAUCAGAAGGCACACCCGGAGAACUGAAACAUCUUAGUACCCGGAGGAAGAGAAAGAAAAUUCGAUUCCCUUAGUAGCGGCGAGCGAAACGGGAAGAGCCCAAACCAACAAGCUUGCUUGUUGGGGUUGUAGGACACUCUAUACGGAGUUACAAAGGACGACAUUAGACGAAUCAUCUGGAAAGAUGAAUCAAAGAAGGUAAUAAUCCUGUAGUCGAAAAUGUUGUCUCUCUUGAGUGGAUCCUGAGUACGACGGAGCACGUGAAAUUCCGUCGGAAUCUGGGAGGACCAUCUCCUAAGGCUAAAUACUCUCUAGUGACCGAUAGUGAACCAGUACCGUGAGGGAAAGGUGAAAAGCACCCCGGAAGGGGAGUGAAAUAGAACCUGAAACCGUGUGCUUACAAGUAGUCAGAGCCCGUUAAUGGGUGAUGGCGUGCCUUUUGUAGAAUGAACCGGCGAGUUACGAUUUGAUGCAAGGUUAAGCAGUAAAUGUGGAGCCGUAGCGAAAGCGAGUCUGAAUAGGGCGUUUAGUAUUUGGUCGUAGACCCGAAACCAGGUGAUCUACCCUUGGUCAGGUUGAAGUUCAGGUAACACUGAAUGGAGGACCGAACCGACUUACGUUGAAAAGUGAGCGGAUGAACUGAGGGUAGCGGAGAAAUUCCAAUCGAACCUGGAGAUAGCUGGUUCUCUCCGAAAUAGCUUUAGGGCUAGCCUCAAGUGAUGAUUAUUGGAGGUAGAGCACUGUUUGGACGAGGGGCCCCUCUCGGGUUACCGAAUUCAGACAAACUCCGAAUGCCAAUUAAUUUAACUUGGGAGUCAGAACAUGGGUGAUAAGGUCCGUGUUCGAAAGGGAAACAGCCCAGACCACCAGCUAAGGUCCCAAAAUAUAUGUUAAGUGGAAAAGGAUGUGGCGUUGCCCAGACAACUAGGAUGUUGGCUUAGAAGCAGCCAUCAUUUAAAGAGUGCGUAAUAGCUCACUAGUCGAGUGACACUGCGCCGAAAAUGUACCGGGGCUAAACAUAUUACCGAAGCUGUGGAUUGUCCUUUGGACAAUGGUAGGAGAGCGUUCUAAGGGUGUUGAAGCAUGAUCGUAAGGACAUGUGGAGCGCUUAGAAGUGAGAAUGCCGGUGUGAGUAGCGAAAGACGGGUGAGAAUCCCGUCCACCGAUUGACUAAGGUUUCCAGAGGAAGGCUCGUCCGCUCUGGGUUAGUCGGGUCCUAAGCUGAGGCCGACAGGCGUAGGCGAUGGAUAACAGGUUGAUAUUCCUGUACCACCUAUAAUCGUUUUAAUCGAUGGGGGGACGCAGUAGGAUAGGCGAAGCGUGCGAUUGGAUUGCACGUCUAAGCAGUAAGGCUGAGUAUUAGGCAAAUCCGGUACUCGUUAAGGCUGAGCUGUGAUGGGGAGAAGACAUUGUGUCUUCGAGUCGUUGAUUUCACACUGCCGAGAAAAGCCUCUAGAUAGAAAAUAGGUGCCCGUACCGCAAACCGACACAGGUAGUCAAGAUGAGAAUUCUAAGGUGAGCGAGCGAACUCUCGUUAAGGAACUCGGCAAAAUGACCCCGUAACUUCGGGAGAAGGGGUGCUCUUUAGGGUUAACGCCCAGAAGAGCCGCAGUGAAUAGGCCCAAGCGACUGUUUAUCAAAAACACAGGUCUCUGCUAAACCGUAAGGUGAUGUAUAGGGGCUGACGCCUGCCCGGUGCUGGAAGGUUAAGAGGAGUGGUUAGCUUCUGCGAAGCUACGAAUCGAAGCCCCAGUAAACGGCGGCCGUAACUAUAACGGUCCUAAGGUAGCGAAAUUCCUUGUCGGGUAAGUUCCGACCCGCACGAAAGGCGUAACGAUUUGGGCACUGUCUCAACGAGAGACUCGGUGAAAUCAUAGUACCUGUGAAGAUGCAGGUUACCCGCGACAGGACGGAAAGACCCCGUGGAGCUUUACUGUAGCCUGAUAUUGAAAUUCGGCACAGCUUGUACAGGAUAGGUAGGAGCCUUUGAAACGUGAGCGCUAGCUUACGUGGAGGCGCUGGUGGGAUACUACCCUAGCUGUGUUGGCUUUCUAACCCGCACCACUUAUCGUGGUGGGAGACAGUGUCAGGCGGGCAGUUUGACUGGGGCGGUCGCCUCCUAAAAGGUAACGGAGGCGCUCAAAGGUUCCCUCAGAAUGGUUGGAAAUCAUUCAUAGAGUGUAAAGGCAUAAGGGAGCUUGACUGCGAGACCUACAAGUCGAGCAGGGUCGAAAGACGGACUUAGUGAUCCGGUGGUUCCGCAUGGAAGGGCCAUCGCUCAACGGAUAAAAGCUACCCCGGGGAUAACAGGCUUAUCUCCCCCAAGAGUUCACAUCGACGGGGAGGUUUGGCACCUCGAUGUCGGCUCAUCGCAUCCUGGGGCUGUAGUCGGUCCCAAGGGUUGGGCUGUUCGCCCAUUAAAGCGGUACGCGAGCUGGGUUCAGAACGUCGUGAGACAGUUCGGUCCCUAUCCGUCGUGGGCGUAGGAAAUUUGAGAGGAGCUGUCCUUAGUACGAGAGGACCGGGAUGGACAUACCUCUGGUGUACCAGUUGUCGUGCCAACGGCAUAGCUGGGUAGCUAUGUGUGGACGGGAUAAGUGCUGAAAGCAUCUAAGCAUGAAGCCCCCCUCAAGAUGAGAUUUCCCAACUUCGGUUAUAAGAUCCCUCAAAGAUGAUGAGGUUAAUAGGUUCGAGGUGGAAGCAUGGUGACAUGUGGAGCUGACGAAUACUAAUCGAUCGAAGACUUAAUCAA
rnacentral:rRNA from 1 species